GCCAUCCCCCCCAUUCCAUCUCGUUCGUUUUAUCUCCCUCAUCAGAGACCAAACCCUAAGCGCCGCCCUAAUAUUCUAACCUUCUCCGGUGGCGGCGCCACCCACAAUCCGUCCUAGAUUUACACCAUAAGACCCUCACAGUUCCCUCUUUCCACAGCUCAAAGCCAUACCCUUCGAAUCCUCCUACAUCUCGUCGAAUUUCAAAUCUGAGGUGGAAACCCUAAAACCCAAAUCUCCCCAAAUUGUCGAGGUUCAGUAAAAGAUUGGGGUCAAGGUUGAUUUUAUUCCUGUGUUCUCAACGAGAACACACGAUUAAUGUCAAUCUCGGCAAAAAUUGAAGGCGUUGAAGCAUUUUUCAACCUCCACUGUCCAAACGUUCCUCUUAGGUAUUUUCCAAACCAUGGACAACAAGUGAUAGUAAAUAUGUAUUUCGAGUGGAAACCUGACUGAAUACAAGUUGUGUUUUGAGUUUUAUUUCUUCUAUUUCUUCCAUUUCUGUAGCAUCCUGUAGUAAAUCCUAUACUAUACAUGUUAUCUGAGUUUUCUCAUGUCAUAAAUAUGCUGUAAAAUUGAAUCAAUGUUAUUUGAGAGUUUGGGUGUGAUUUUUGGAUUCACGUGAAUGAUUUGUUGACAUCCUGGGUCUUUGCUACUGUUAGUAUUAAGAAAGGGGUCUAGCUGAGAUUAAAUUUCAUAUUGUUAUUUAUGAGUUAGCCUAGAAUUGAAUUCAAGCAUGAACAUUUGUUGGUUUUGUUAUCAAUGUAAUUGAAGUCGAGACUGUGUUGUUUUUUA